GCCCCCGUAGCUCAGUGGAAGAGCAACCGCCUUCUAAGCGGUGGGUCGGGUGUUCGAGUCACCCCGGGGGUACCC
rnacentral:tRNA from 1 species